UACGAAGAGGGCGAGUGUUAUUCAUAGUGAUUGGGCGUAAAGGGUACGUAGACGGUGUUUUAAGUUCCUGACUGUAAAAAUCCAUGGCGCAACUGUGGUGUGGUGGAAUACUGUUACACUCGAGUUUUGCAGAAGUUAGUGGUAUUUUUAAGGUAAAAGUAAUAAUUAUCGAUCUUAAGGAGACCCCCAAAGGCGAAAGCAACUAACUAGGUUAAACUGACGUUAAGGUACGGAGGCAUGGGGAUCGAACAGG
rnacentral:rRNA from 1 species